UGAGCGGAGAUAUAUGGAGCUUGCUUUAUAUAACUUAGCAGCGAACGGGUGAGUAACACGUAGAUAAUCUAUCCUAUACUGGGGGAUAGCCCGAUGAAAGUUGGAUUAAUACCGCAUAUAGCUAUAUAGUUGCAUGAUUAUGUAGUGAAAGAUUUAUUGGUAUAGGAGGAGUCUGCGGCACAUUAGCUAGUAGGUGAGGUAAAGGCUUGCCUAGGCGACGAUGUGUAGCCGGUCUGAGAGGAUGAACGGCCACAAUGGAACUGAGACACGGUCCAUACUCCUACGGGAGGCAGCAGUGGGGAAUAUUGCACAAUGGGGGAAACCCUGAUGCAGCAACGCCGCGUGAGUGAAGAAGGUUUUCGGAUUGUAAAGCUCUGUUAGCAGGGAAGAGGAAGGACGGUACCUGCAGAGGAAGCCACGGCUAACCACGUGCCAGCAGCCGCGGUAAUACGUAGGUGGCAAGCGUUGUUCGGAAUAACUGGGCGUAAAGGAUGCGUAGGCGGUUAAACAAGUUAUAUGUUAAAUAUAUAGGCUUAACCUGUAGAAAGCAUAUAAAACUGUUUAACUAGAGUGCAGGAGAGGUAAGUGGAAUUCCUAGUGUAGCGGAGAAAUGCGUAGAGAUUAGGAAGAACACCAGUGGCGAAGGCGACUUACUGGACUGUAACUGACGCUGAGGCAUGAGAGCAUGGGGAGCAAACAGGAUUAGAUACCCUGGUAGUCCAUGCUGUAAACGAUGGGUACUAGGUGUG
rnacentral:rRNA from 1 species